UACAGAGGUCUCAAGCGUUGUUCGGAUUUAUUGGGCGUAAAGGGUGCGUAGGCGGCGGAGUUAGUUGGAUGUGAAACGCUGCGGCUCAACCGCAGCACUGCACUCAAUACUGCUCUGCUAGAGCACUAGCGAGGAGGCUGGAAUUUACGGUGUAGCAGUGAAAUGCGUAGAUAUCGUAAGGAACACCAGUGGCGAAAGCGAGCCUCUAGAUAGCUGCUGACGCUGAGGCACGAAAGCCA
rnacentral:rRNA from 1 species